rnacentral:rRNA from 1 species
UACGUAGGGGGCAAGCGUUGUCCGGAUUUAUUGGGCGUAAAGCGUGCGCAGGCGGUUCUAUAAGACAGAUGUGAAAUCCCCGGGCUCAACCUGGGAACUGCAUUUGUGACUGUAGAGCUGGAGUGCGGCAGAGGGGGAUGGAAUUCCGCGUGUAGCAGUGAAAUGCGUAGAUAUGCGGAGGAACACCGAUGGCGAAGGCAAUCCCCUGGGCCUGCACUGACGCUCAUGCACGAAAGCGUGGGGAGCAAACAGG